AACGAACGCUGGCGGCAUGCCUAACACAUGCAAGUCGAACGAGACCUUCGGGUCUAGUGGCGCACGGGUUCGUAACGCGUGGGAACCUGCCCUUAGGUUCGGAAUAACUCCCCGAAAGGGGUGCUAAUACCGGAUAAUGUCUUCUGACCAAAGAUUUAUCGCCUUUGGAUGGGCCCGCGUUGGAUUAGCUAGUUGGUAGGGUAAUAGCCUACCAAGGCGACGAUCCAUAGCUGGUCUGAGAGGAUGAUCAGCCACACUGGGACGGAGACACGGCCCAGACUCCUACGGGAGGCAGCAGUGGGGAAUAUUGGAAAAUGGGCGAAAGCCUGAUCCACCAAUGACGCGUGAGUGAUGAAGGCAUUAGGGUUGUAAAGCUCUUUUACCCGGGAUGAUAAUGACAGUACCGGGAGAAUAAGCUCCGGCUAACUCCGUG
rnacentral:rRNA from 1 species